AUUGAACGCUAGCGGGAUGCUUUACACAUGCAAGUCGAGCGAGCGGCGGACGGGUGAGUAAUGUAUGGGGACUGCCCGAUAGAGGGGGAUAACUACUGGAAACGGUAGCUAAUACCGCAUACUAUCGGAUAACCCAUAUGGGAUUAGAUAGUAGGUGAGGUAAUGGCUCCACUAGGCGACGAUCCCUAGCUGGUCUGCGAGGAUGAUCAGCCACACUGGGACGGAGACACGGCCCAGACUCCUACGGAGGCAGCAGUGGGGAAUAUUGCACAAUGGGCGCAAGCCUGAUGCAGCCAUGCAGCGUGUAUGAAGAAGGCCCUAGGGUUGUAAAGGACUGUCAGUCGGGAGGCGUUACCGACAGAAGAAGCACCGGCUAACUCCGUGCCAGCAGCCGCGGUAAUUC
rnacentral:rRNA from 1 species